GAGAAUGCCGGUGUGAGUAGCGAAAGACGGGUGAGAAUCCCGUCCACCGAUUGACUAAGGUUUCCAGAGGAAGGCUCGUCCGCUCUGGGUUAGUCGGGUCCUAAGCUGAGGCCGACAGGCGUAGGCGAUGGAUAACAGGUUGAUAUUCCUGUACCACCUAUAAUCGUUUUAAUCGAUGGGGGGACGCAGUAGGAUAGGCGAAGCGUGCGAUUGGAUUGCACGUCUAAGCAGUAAGGCUGAGUAUUAGGCAAAUCCGGUACUCGUUAAGGCUGAGCUGUGAUGGGGAGAAGACAUUGUGUCUUCGAGUCGUUGAUUUCACACUGCCGAGAAAAGCCUCUAGAUAGAAAAUAGGUGCCCGUACCGCAAACCGACACAGGUAGUCAAGAUGAGAAUUCUAAGGUGAGCGAGCGAACUCUCGUUAAGGAACUCGGCAAAAUGACCCCGUAACUUCGGGAGAAGGGGUGCUCUUUAGGGUUAACGCCCAGAAGAGCCGCAGUGAAUAGGCCCAAGCGACUGUUUAUCAAAAACACAGGUCUCUGCUAAACCGUAAGGUGAUGUAUAGGGGCUGACGCCUGCCCGGUGCUGGAAGGUUAAGAGGAGUGGUUAGCUUCUGCGAAGCUACGAAUCGAAGCCCCAGUAAACGGCGGCCGUAACUAUAACGGUCCUAAGGUAGCGAAAUUCCUUGUCGGGUAAGUUCCGACCCGCACGAAAGGCGUAACGAUUUGGGCACUGUCUCAACGAGAGACUCGGUGAAAUCAUAGUACCUGUGAAGAUGCAGGUUACCCGCGACAGGACGGAAAGACCCCGUGGAGCUUUACUGUAGCCUGAUAUUGAAAUUCGGCACAGCUUGUACAGGAUAGGUAGGAGCCUUUGAAACGUGAGCGCUAGCUUACGUGGAGGCGCUGGUGGGAUACUA
rnacentral:rRNA from 1 species